UUUUAGCCCCGGGAGUAGUGGCAUCCUUUGUUGCCGGGGUUCGGCAACAAAGAUAUAGCGAAUCACGGGACGAUGC
rfam:Flavobacterium succinicans strain DD5b FLB_contig000060, whole genome shotgun sequence.